rnacentral:rRNA from 1 species
UACCAGCUCUCCGAGUGGUAGGGAUGAUUAUUGGGCUUAAAGCGUCCGUAGCCGGCUUAGCAAGUCUCCUGUUAAAUUCAGCGACCUAAUCGUUUAGCCGCGGGAGAUACUACUAGGCUAGGAGGCGGGAGAGGUCGACGGUACUUCUGGGGUAGGGGUGAAAUCCUAUAAUCCCGGGAGGACCACCAGUGGCGAAGGCUGUCGACUAGAACGCGCUCGACGGUGAGGGACGAAAGCUGGGGGGAGCGAACCGGAUUAGAUACCCGGGUAGUCCCAGCUGUAAACGAUGCGGGCUAGGUGUUGGGGUGGCUACGUGCCACUUCAGUGCCGCAGGGAAGCCAGUUAACGCCCGCCGCCUGGGGGAGUACGGCCGCAAGGCUAGAAACUUAAAGGAAUUGGCGAGGGAGCACCACAAGGCGUGAAGUCUUGCGGUUC